rnacentral:rRNA from 1 species
AUUGAACGCUGGCGGCAUGCCUUACACAUGCAAGUCGAACGGCAGCGCGGGAGCAAUCCUGGCGGCGAGUGGCGAACGGGUGAGUAAUAUAUCGGAACGUGCCCAGUAGUGGGGGAUAGCCCGGCGAAAGCCGGAUUAAUACCGCAUGAGACCUGAGGGUGAAAGCGGGGGAUCGCAAGACCUCGCGCUAUUGGAGCGGCCGAUAUCAGAUUAGCUAGUUGGUGGGGUAAAGGCCUACCAAGGCAACGAUUUGUAGUUGGUCUGAGAGGACGACCAGCCACACUGGGACUGAGACACGGCCCAGACUCCUACGGGAGGCAGCAGUGGGGAAUUUUGGACAAUGGGCGCAAGCCUGAUCCAGCAAUGCCGCGUGCAGGAA